UACGAAGGGGGCUAGCGUUGCUCGGAAUCACUGGGCGUAAAGCGCACGUAGGCGGCUUGUUAAGUCAGGGGUGAAAUCCUGGAGCUCAACUCCAGAACUGCCUUUGAUACUGGCGAGCUUGAGUCCGGGAGAGGUGAGUGGAACUGCGAGUGUAGAGGUGAAAUUCGUAGAUAUUCGCAAGAACACCCGUGGCGAAGGCGGCUCUCUGGGACGGUACUGACGCUGAGACGCGAAAGCGUGGGGAGCGAACAGG
rnacentral:rRNA from 1 species